rnacentral:lncRNA from 1 species
CUUUUAUCUCAUUUGAUUCCAAUGUAGCUAGGCUUUACGAUUAGGCGAAUGGUAGCUUCUUCGUUCUUAGCUAAGUAAAACCUGAUUGAGCAAAAGCAGAGGUCUGUAGCUAUUUACAGAUCUCACGUAUACUUCAGGGAAAUCGAAUUGGUCAUCGUGAUUGGGUGAAUCUUAGUUUCAUUUUCUUAUAACUAAAUGGUUCAGUACAUGAUGGUACAUUAGUUAUAUAGCUUUAUCUUUUGUUUGAGAUGAUCUUAGUGACUUUAUUGUUCAUAUCUGUGUUUGUUGUAUUUUGCUUACAGAACACUCGGGAAACAGCGCACGCUAUCAGGAAGCUACCAUUGCUCAAGGCCAAGAGGUACCUUGAGGAUGUGAUAGCUCACAAGCAGGCUAUUCCCUUCACCCGUUUCUGCAGAGGUGUUGGAAGGACUGCUCAAGCCAAGAACAGGCACUCCAAUGGUCAGGGACGUUGGCCUGCUAAGUCUGCUCAGUUCGUUCUUGAUUUGCUCAAGAACGCCGAGAGCAAUGCUGAGGUGAAAGGUUUGGAUGUUGAUGCGCUCUUCAUUUCGCACAUUCAAGUCAACCAGGCUGCAAAGCAGAGGAGAAGGACUUACCGUGCUCACGGAAGAAUCAACCGUAAGUUUUUUUUGAGAUUCUUUAAUUUGACUUAACAUGUUUUUCUCUUGGGUAAUGAAUGACUCAUUGGUUCUUUUCUUGGCUGCAGCUUACAUGUCCAACCCAUGCCACAUUGAGUUGAUUCUGUCAGAGAAGGAAGAGUCUGUCAAGAAAGAGGUAAUAAGAGUCUGUCUUAAUCUCACGAUCUUGUGUCUUAACAACAGUGAUUCUCAAUUUGUUUUUGUUUGUUUGUUUGUGUUUUUGAUUAUUGCAGCCGGAGACCCAGUUGGCAGCCAAGUCGAAGAAAUCAACUGCUUAAGCUUUCGUUUAUUUUCAGUAUCUUUUUUUGUGUUCCUGAACGAGAUUUUGUUCCCUUUUCUCCAUAUUAUCAAGACAAUGGAUAGAGUUCAAUGUGGGUCUUAUGAAUCAUUAAUCAUGGUUACUAGAAUCUUUCUAUCUAAAUCAUUCUAUUUACCAUUCUUCUAUGUUAUGUCAGUAUAAUCUUUAGUUUUAACUCUGCUUAUGACCUUCGAUGGUAUAAGACUUGCUCAUUAGAAAGUGUGUUGGGAAGUGUUGGUACUUAGUAUGUGCAACAAAUGAGAAUCAAAAGUAAAAUCUAUUUUGCUUUGCAAAGUUUCCCUAAGUUUUUACCAAAGAUUUUUUGAUUUACUUGGCACUUUCAUUCUUUAUACAAAAGACUUUAGUGAAAAUAGACACUGAUUCCGUGGAUCUUCACAUCAUCAUCUUUCUUUCUCGUUCUCAAUCGCUUGGACAAUUGGGUCGUCCUCUAUGUCCAAGUCGCUCUCUUCAUCUUCGUACUCGUCUAGCUCACUAAUCAUUGUUUGUUUAACCUUCUUCCUCGACUCUCUCCUAUGCUUCUUCGGCUGUAGUCUUGGUUCAGCUUGUUUCACACCCAUCCCUCCUACUUUGUACCUGUCUCAAAUGAUCCUAUGAUUAGUACACAUCUAGGCUUGCGACAAUAAAGCCUGUUGGUUUCUCAAAACAGUUACCUAACAUCACCUUCCCUUUUGGUUCCAAAAGUCCUAAGUUGAAACUCCUCCCUGACUCUGAUCUCAUCAAGCAGUUGUAAGUAGUAAGGAUACCUUUCCCACUCUCCUUUCACUACACAUCCUGGUUCUCCGAUAUGCAAGCAAUCUUUGAAUCCACAUUUCUCUUCCUCUAUCAUUUUCCUUAUCUAAGCCAUAAAAGAGUUAAAAGACGCAUCCUUCACAAUCACUCUAUAUAUGCGAAAUGCGAAAUGAGCACAAGACAAAGGGUACAAACCUCAGGGAAACACAAGGCAAGUGAAUGCUUGGUUACUUUCAGCAAACUAGGCUGGUUAAAACCAGGAGUAUCAGCGAGAUAACCACCUUCAGUAAUCGGCAGCAGCGACACAUUUCGAGUUGUGUGUUUGCCUCUACCACUUCUAGUUGAAACUUCACCAACUCGCUGAUCUUCAAACCACUUAUUACCUAUUAUCUGAAAUAUAUAUAACCAAGUUCAAGCCAAGAGAAUAUUGUAAAACAAAGUUCAGAUAAGCACAAACAGAACCUUACAGGCUCAAACCAAUUCUCGUCUUCAACGUCACCACCACCAGAGCUGCUCCUCAAUAUGUUGAUUAAACUCGACUUCCCAACACCACUAGGUCCAACAAUCACAGAAGUCUGAUUCCUCAGGACGAACGCAAUCGCGUCAAGCCCCUCUUUAGUUCCCACACUGCAAAAGAACGGUUCAUAGUUCCAUCCACGCAGUCUCAUCUUCCAAGAUUCCAAUUCCUGAAAACAAAGAUAAUGCCUUCCUAAUCAAGAACAAGAACAUUAGAAACAAAGAUCAUGUCUCUCUAAUCAAGCCCUGAAGUACAUUUUCUACUUAACAAACUACUCAAACGCUAUCAACACAACCUUCCAAGAAUCCAAUUCCUUACAAACAGUGCUCUAAUCAAGCCUUCAUGCGAUGAGCUAUGCAAACAAGAACAUUGUAAACAAAGCUCAUUGCUCUUCAUUUGAGUAUCUAAACUAGCAAUGAGUUCUUGCCUCUUCGGUGAUGAGUUCGCAUUUGUUCAAGGCAAGUGUGAGUGGAAUCCCAGUGGACUCAGCUUCCACUAAGAACCUAGUGAGCGUGAACGGCUCAAGCUUGGGCUGAUCAAGCGAGAAAAGAACAAGCAAGUGAUCAACAUUCGCCACCGGAGGAUCAAGAAUCUCGGACCUCCGCUGGAACACAUUCUCAAUCAUCCCUCUCCGAUCAACCCAAUCGAUAGACCCAACGAGAACCUUAUCCCCAACCAGCACUCUCCUCCUUAUCUUCUUCAGCACUGCUCUCACCACGCAGAGCAGCUCAACUCCGUCCUUAGACGACGACGUAGAAGAAGAACGAUCGUCUCCAUCUCCGUCUCCGUCCUGGACGACGACGCGCAUGAAGUUGGCCUGGGCGGUGGCGACGGUGCCGAUGGCCUGAGAGGGUAAGAGCGAAGGAUUGUGGUCGGGAGAGAGAACGGGAGCUAAGGGGGAGUGGUCUUUGCCGAUGUGCUUGGCUCUGAGCGUGUUUUUGCUCGGCUGGGGUUUUCUGGAGACAUCGGGGUUGUCUCGUCUCGCUGAGAGUGUGAGGAGAUGGAAGCUGCGGCGGAAUCCGAUUCCGAUUCCGAGUCCGCCGUGGUGAAUCGACGCGCGACGGAGGAAGAGAGGAGAAGAGUGGCGGAUGAUGGAGAGAGACGAUAUCUGCAUUUGAAUAUUCUGGAAGAAUCCAAGAAUGUCUUCGCUGAGGGGAGUGAUGAUGCAAGAAGAAGAAGAUAUUAGAAUGGGCCGAGUCUUAACGGGCCAAAAGCCCAACGUUUCUUUUUCGUAGCUUCUUGAAAAAAGCUUAGUAAAUUAUGUUACAAACCUAACUAGGGGUUAUUGGUUGUUGUAUUUUAAUGGAUUUGAAAAUCCGAACUAAAUCUAGUGUUAUUGGUUCUAUGAUUUUCAAAUCUAUAUUAAAAUCAUGUGUUAUUGGUUUAAUGAUUCAUAAAUUCUGUAUCAAAUCAAAUGUUAUUCAAUCGUACGGGUUUACUAAUAUAUUUGAUUUUAUAAUGGAUUUGAAUGGAUUUGUUUGGAUUUUUUAGUUAAAAAUACAAAGACUCAAAUCCGAGGGAAAACUUCCGGAUUUGCAUAUUUUACUUGGAUUUAUAAAUGCUAUAUAAAUUUCUAAAUCAAUCAAAAUAUAUAAACCAAUAACACCUAAGUAACCGAAGAAUAAAAGCAAAGAAGUGUGUUAUGGAUUAUUAUGAGGUGGAGAACUUUGAGGCAAAAGCAUGCUCUGAUCAUGUGUUUAUGGUUAAAAUAAAGCUCUUCUCAAAUUUUUAAGACAGCAAACACCUUAUUUCAUUUUUUUUUCUCCCCCAAGUUUUGUUUUUAUUAAUCAAACGGCCAAACCCACUCGGCCUAAGCCCGAGUACACUAAGUACCAAACAAAAAGUCACAGACAGAACGGACUACAACAUUAACGGCCGAAGCCCAAGUAAACUAAACGGUCCAAAGGCCCAAACAUUGAAACCGGACAGCUUGACUUAGGCGCGCGAAAAGGAGGCUGGGGUUUGAACACGUGUAAGAAUCUGGGCCAUCAGUAUGACACGCGUCGCCCGCCUCGACUUGACCGAAACCUCUUCGCACAGCCGCCGGAACUUGCCACCGACAACCUCGUUUCGCCGGAGCUCAAAGACUGGAGAGCCUCCAACGAAACCUUAGCCAUUCUACGCCGCACUGUCUUCACGCCAGAGAGUUUCAUCGAUCUAACGAGAUCUCCUCCGACUAUGUAUCACCACAAACCCUAGACAGGCGAGCCGAGAACCACUGCUAUCCUCCUCUUGUACGUCCUCGCCGUUGCCGGAGAGCUUCAUCAUCAACCGAGAUCUCAUCCGCGACGGCCCACGAACCUAUACCUAACUACAAGAACCAUACCGCACUUAUCACACCUCAAUCUAAUCACCACAACCCAAAGGACCUCGGGUUCCAAGACGGCAGCGCGGAGCUUUGCAAGCCUCCACUCUCCGUGACCAAAAGCCGGCGAAGACAGAGCUGAAUGAUCCUCCCCUUCCCGGAAGCUCAAGCGGCGACGGUGUAUCUGAGAAAGCCUCCACCUCCCGCAUAAAGACCGGCGACGAUGGAUCUAGGGUAGCCUCCAUCUCCCGGUAAACACCACCUGAACAUGCAAGCCGCUCCAUCUCCACGGGGAACCUCCAAUCGAUCGCAUCGUUACUCCAGAAGUCGAGCCACCGUUGAUGGAUUGUUGCGGUACCAGAGUUCCGACAAGGCGGUCGAUGACGGGACUGCGAAGAAGGAGCGGAGAGGAACAAUUACAAAAGAAGGGAAAGGGCUCGGGCGACGGCACGGACGCUCACGCGCCGGCCGUACGCCGGACCCAAAAGCGACAUGUGUUUCUCUACUCUCUCUGUUCACAAAAAACGGUUUUGAUAUUAAUGGUAACUAACCACCAUAUUUCAUUAAACAAAGGAUUAAACACCAAAUUGUUUACAUGGGAAAAUUUAGGAGCUUUCGCGCGAGCUUCUUUUGCAAAGAGAUCAGCUCGAGAAUUAAACUCACGGGAAAUAAAAGAUAGAGAAAACAAAGUAAACAAAGAACGGUUAAAAAGAAAUUCUUCCCAUUCAGAAGUCAAAGUUUAAACAGGAGUUUCGGGUAAAUAAAUCCAUCCCAAAGUGAUAACUGAUAAAGAUAAAUCGAUGUUAAGUUUGUAGUUAGAAUCAUGGAACAAGAGCAUUUAAUGUUCUUAGAUGGGUGUCACGUGUGACACUAACUCUGGAUUAUGUGAUUUUUUCUUAACAGUUUUUAACCAAAUAGUGCUCUUUUCCAACUCUAUUAUCAUUAAAACCUAAACUUCUUCCACUGAAGUUGUAUGGGGAAAUUUCUUCUCGAUAAGAAACUUUUUCGUCUCAGAAGCUUGUCAUUUCAGCUAACAAUUUAGUAUGUCAAGUUUUAGCUUCAGUUGAAAACCUAACCUAACUAAGAUACAUUGAACUUAUACAGCCAGACCCGGCCCAGUCUAUAAUAUUGCCUAAAGCAAAAACCAAAUUUGGCGCCCCAAAAGAUUCGAACCUAUCAACUUUAAACCAGGUAAGGGGUACACAACCACUAGGGCACAUGAAAGUUUUGGUCAUUGUGAUGCCCAUAAAUAUAUAAUUCAGUUUGGCGCCUAAAGCUGGUGCUUCCCCAGCUUUAGGUCAGGGCCAGCACUGGUCAUUCAUAAAACUCUUCUCCGCAUAUAACAAAGAAAGACGCAAAUAAGUUGAAGUAAAAAUAGUUUGAGCAAGAACCCGACAACCAGACCAAGUGUAAGCCCUCUUGAAAAACAAACUUUACUCAGCAUCAUUUGUCUCAUUUUGAUGUAUAUCUGCUUUUGAUCUGUGCAGCUUGCAAGGCUAGAGGAUCCGAUCUUAGGGUUCACUUCAAGGUAUACAUCUUCUUCAAUCAUUCUCUCUUUUAUCUCAUUUGAUUCCAAUGUAGCUAGGCUUUACGAUUAGGCGAAUGGUAGCUUCUUCGUUCUUAGCUAAGUAAAACCUGAUUGAGCAAAAGCAGAGGUCUGUAGCUAUUUACAGAUCUCACGUAUACUUCAGGGAAAUCGAAUUGGUCAUCGUGAUUGGGUGAAUCUUAGUUUCAUUUUCUUAUAGCUUUAAAGAUUCAGUACAUGAUGGUACAUUGAUUAUAGUUGAUGUGUAGAGUUAUAGUGAGUAGUUGUUCAGUUAAUGAUGAUGCCACAUUCUUGUUCUGUUGAUUAGUUCUCAUAGUUUUUUUGUUUGAAACAGAACACUCGGGAAACAGCGCACGCUAUCAGGAAGCUACCAUUGCUCAAGGCCAAGAGGUACCUUGAGGAUGUGAUAGCUCACAAGCAGGCUAUUCCCUUCACCCGUUUCUGCAGAGGUGUUGGAAGGACUGCUCAAGCCAAGAACAGGCACUCCAAUGGUCAGGGACGUUGGCCUGCUAAGUCUGCUCAGUUCGUUCUUGAUUUGCUC